GGGUUGUGAGGUUAAGUGAAUAAGCGUACACGAUGGAUGCCUAGGCAGUCAGAGGCGAUGAAGGGCGUGCUAAUCUGCGAAAAGCGUCGGCAAGCUGAUAUGAAGCGUUACAACCGACGAUACCCGAAUGGGGAAACCCAGUGCAAUUCGUUGCACUAUCAUGUCAUGAAUACAUAGUGGCAUGAGGCGAACCGGGGGAACUGAAACAUCUCAGUACCCCGAGGAAAAGAAAUCAACCGAGAUUCCCCCAGUAGCGGCGAGCGAACGGGGAAGAGCCCAGAGUCUGAAUCAGCUUGUGUGUCAGUGGAAGCGUCUGGAAAGUCGCACAGUAAAGGGUGAUAGUCCCGUACACGAAGACGCACAGGUUGUGAGCUCGAUGAGUAGGGCGGGACACGUGUUAUCCUGUCUGAAUAUGGGGGGACCAUCCUCCAAGGCUAAAUACUCCUGACUGACCGAUAGUGAACCAGUACCGUGAGGGAAAGGCGAAAAGAACCCCGGCGAGGGGAGUGAAAUAGAACCUAAAACCGUGUACGUACAAGCAGUGGGAGCAUCCUUAGGGGUGUGACUGCGUACCUUUUGUAUAAUGGGUCAGCGACUUAUAUUCUGUAGCAAGGUUAACCGCAUAGGGGAGCCGCAGGGAAACCGAGUCUUAACUGGGCGUUAAGUUGCAGGGUAUAGACCCGAAACCCGGUGAUCUAGCCAUGGGCAGGUUGAAGGUUGGGUAACACUAACUGGAGGACCGAACCGACUAAUGUUGAAAAAUUAGCGGAUGACUUGUGGCUGGGGGUGAAAGGCCAAUCAAACCGGGAGAUAGCUGGUUCUCCCCGAAAGCUAUUUAGGUAGCGCCUCGUGAAUUCAUCUUCGGGGGUAGAGCUCUGUUUCGGCUAGGGGGUCAUCCCGACUUACCAACCCGAUGCAAACUACGAAUACCGAAGAAUGUUAUCACGGGAGACACACGGCGGGUGCUAACGUUCGUCGUGAAGAGGGAAACAACCCAGACCGCCAGCUAAGGUCCCAAAGUCAUGGUUAAGUGGGAAACGAUGUGGGAAGGCAUAGACAGCCAGGAUGUUGACUUAGAAGCAGCCAUCAUUUAAAGAAAGCGUAAUAGCUCACUGGUCGAGUCGGCCUGCGCGGAAGAUGUAACGGGGCUAAACCAUGCACCGAAGCUGCGGCAGCGACACUUAGGUGUUGUUGGGUAGGGGAGCGUUCUGUAAGCCGUUGAAGGUGAACUGUGAGGUUUGCUGGAGGUAUCAGAAGUGCGAAUGCUGACAUAAGUAACGAUAAAGCGGGUGAAAAGCCCGCUCGCCGGAAGACCAAGGGUUCCUGUCCAACGUUAAUCGGGGCAGGGUGAGUCGACCCCUAAGGCGAGGCCGAAAGGCGUAGUCGAUGGGAAACAGGUUAAUAUUCCUGUACUUGGUGUUACUGCGAAGGGGGGACGGAGAAGGCUAUGUCAUCCGGGCGACGGUUGUCCCGGUUUAAGCGUGUAGGUGGGUGACUUUGGUAAAUCCGGGUCGCUGUUAACACUGAGGCGUGAUGACGAGGUACUACGGUACUGAAGUGACAGAUGCCCAGCUUCCAGGAAAAGCCUCUAAGCAUCAGGUAACAUUGAAUCGUACCCCAAACCGACACAGGUGGUCAGGUAGAGAAUACCAAGGCGCUUGAGAGAACUCGGGUGAAGGAACUAGGCAAAAUAGUGCCGUAACUUCGGGAGAAGGCACGCUGUGCGAGGUGUAGGGAUUUACUCCUGAAGCUUUGCGCAGUCGCAGAUACCAGCUGGCUGCAACUGUUUAAUAAAAACACAGCACUGUGCAAACACGAAAGUGGACGUAUACGGUGUGACGCCUGCCCGGUGCUGGAAGGUUAAUUGAUGGGGUUAUCCGUAAGGAGAAGCUCUUGAUCGAAGCCCCAGUAAACGGCGGCCGUAACUAUAACGGUCCUAAGGUAGCGAAAUUCCUUGUCGGGUAAGUUCCGACCUGCACGAAUGGCGUAAUGAUGGCCAGGCUGUCUCCACCCGAGACUCAGUGAAAUUGAACUCGCUGUGAAGAUGCAGUGUACCCGCGGCAAGACGGAAAGACCCCGUGAACCUUUACUAUAGCUUGACACUGAACCUUGAGCCUUGAUGUGUAGGAUAGGUGGGAGGCUUUGAAGUGUGGACGCCAGUCUGCAUGGAGCCAACCUUGAAAUACCACCCUUUAAUGUUUGAUGUUCUAACCUGGGCCCCUGAUCGGGGCUGGGGACAGUGUCUGGUGGGUAGUUUGACUGGGGCGGUCUCCUCCCAAAGAGUAACGGAGGAGCACGAAGGUUAGCUAAUCCUGGUCGGACAUCAGGAGGUUAGUGCAAAGGCAUAAGCUAGCUUGACUGCGAGAGUGACGGCUCGAGCAGGUACGAAAGUAGGUCUUAGUGAUCCGGUGGUUCUGAAUGGAAGGGCCAUCGCUCAACGGAUAAAAGGUACUCCGGGGAUAACAGGCUGAUACCGCCCAAGAGUUCAUAUCGACGGCGGUGUUUGGCACCUCGAUGUCGGCUCAUCACAUCCUGGGGCUGAAGUAGGUCCCAAGGGUAUGGCUGUUCGCCAUUUAAAGUGGUACGCGAGCUGGGUUUAGAACGUCGUGAGACAGUUCGGUCCCUAUCUGCCGUGGGCGUUGGAGAAUUGAGGGGGGUUGCUCCUAGUACGAGAGGACCAGAGUGAACGCACCACUGGUGUUCGGGUUGUCAUGCCAAUGGCAUUGCCCGGUAGCUACGUGCGGAAGAGAUAAGUGCUGAAAGCAUCUAAGCACGAAACUUGCCCCGAGAUGAGUUCUCCCUUGUCCCUUUGAGGACACUGAAAGGCCGUUGAAGACGACGACGUAGAUAGGCUGGGUGUGUAAGUGCAGCGAUGCAUUGAGCUAACCAGUACUAAUGACCUGUGAGGCUUAACCUUACAACGCCGAAGGUGUUU
rnacentral:rRNA from 1 species